GGUUUAAUUCGAUGCAACGCGACGAACCUUACCUGGUCUUGACAUCCUGAGAACUUUCUAGAAAUAGAUUGGUGCCUUCGGGAACUCAGUGACAGGUGCUGCAUGGCUGUCGUCAGCUCGUGUCGUGAGAUGUUGGGUUAAGUCCCGUAACGAGCGCAACCCCUAUCCUUAUUUGCCAGCACAUCAUGGUGGGAACUAUAAGGAGACUGCCGGUGAUAAACCGGAGGAAGGCGGGGACGACGUCAAGUCAUCAUGGCCCUUACGACCAGGGCUACACACGUGCUACAAUGGGAAGGACAAAGAGCCGCGAAGCCGCGAGGUGUAGCUAAUCUCAGAAACCUUUUCGUAGUCCGGAUUGGAGUCUGCAACUCGACUCCAUGAAGUCGGAAUCGCUAGUAAUCGUAGAUCAGAAUGCUACGGUGAAUACGUUCCCGGGUCUUGUACACACCGCCCGU
rnacentral:rRNA from 1 species